GCGAGUCGAGCGUCUCUAGCUAUGUUGAGACGCGGCAGACGGCUCAGUAACACGUGGCUAACCUACCCUCAGGACAAGGAUAAACCCGGGAAACUGGGGCUAAUACUUGAUAGGCGAAGAUGCCUGGAAUGGUUUUUCACCUAAAGGGCUUUAGAAACAUGCUUCUAAAGUCGCCUGAGGAUGGGGCCGCGUCCGAUCAGGUUGUUGGUGAGGUAACGGCUCACCAUGCCUAUAACCGGUACGGGCCGUGAGAGCGGUAGCCCGGAGAUGGGUACUGAGACAAGGACCCAGGCCCUACGGGGCGCAGCAGUCGCGAAAACUCCGCAAUGCACGAAAGUGUGACGGGGCUACCCCGAGUGCCAUCCGCUGAGGAUGGCUUUUCUUUGGUGUAAUGAGCCAAAGGAAUAAGGGGAGGGCAAGACUGGUGUCAGCCGCCGCGGUAAUACCAGCUCCCCGAGUGGUAGGGACAAUUAUUGGGCUUAAAGCGUCCGUAGCCGGCCUGACAAGUCUUUCGUUAAAUCCAGCGACUUAAUCGUUGGGCUGCGGGAGAUACUAUCGGGCUAGGGGACGGGAGAGGCCGAUGGUAUUCUUGGGGUAGGGGUGAAAUCCUAUAAUCCCAGGAGGACCACCAGUGGCGAAGGCGAUCGGCUAAUACGCGCCUGACGGUGAGGGACGAAAGCUGGGGGAGCGAACCGGAUUAGAUACCCGCGUAG
rnacentral:rRNA from 1 species